GUCCGCCUGGGGAGUACGGCCGCAAGGUUAAAACUCAAAUGAAUUGACGGGGGCCCGCACAAGCGGUGGAGCAUGUGGUUUAAUUCGAUGCAACGCGAAGAACCUUACCUGGUCUUGACAUCCUCGGAACUUUUCAGAGAUGAGAAUGUGCCUUCGGGAACCGUGAGACAGGUGGUGCAUGGCUGUCGUCAGCUCGUGUUGUGAAAUGUUGGGUUAAGUCCCGCAACGAGCGCAACCCUUAUCCUUUGUUGCCAGCGGUCCGGCCGGGAACUCAAAGGAGACUGCCAGUGAUAAACUGGAGGAAGGUGGGGAUGACGUCAAGUCAUCAUGGCCCUUACGACCAGGGCUACACACGUGCUACAAUGGCGCAUACAAAGAGAAGCGACCUCGCGAGAGCAAGCGGACCUCAUAAACUGCGUCGUAGUCCGGAUUGGAGUCUGCAACUCGACUCCAUGAAGUCGGAAUCGCUAGUAAUCGUGGAUCAGAAUGCCACGGUGAAUACGUUCCCGGC
rnacentral:rRNA from 1 species